AAGUAAUGAUGUAGACGUAUGGGGGGUGAGUCUGCCCAAUGGUUGUAUCUGAAGGGGUCGGUAGGGUCGAUUCUAUAAAGACAAUUGAAUGGCUGCGGUAACAGUGACCGUGAAAAUGUAGCGUAAUCAAUUGUCAAUUAAUUGUUGGCCGGUAUGAAUGGUGUCACGAAGGCCUCACUGUCUUAAGAAAAUCUCCUGUGAAAUUGAAUUUGUAGUAUUGAUGCUACAUCAAAUUUGUUAGACGAGAAGUCCCCAUGGAACUUUACUGGAGAUUUAUAUGGCCUAUCUGACAGAUAAAUUGUUUAGAUUAUGUGGUGUUAACUGUUUUAAGUGAAAAAAUAUAUAGGUGUUCUUAGAGUAGUCUUCAGACUAAAGUAAAAAACACAUGUAUGAAAAUUUUAGUUAGUAAAACUCACUUUUUUAUUUUUAGAGGGUUAACUCUUCUUUUGAAUUAAGUUCGAUUGGUGGGGGGUACCACCCUUUUGGAGGUGAAUCUGGGUUAGAGAAAUGAGGUAAGUUAGAAAAUUUGGUAGGGGCGAUCGCCUUUUAAAAAGAACGAAGGUGGCGUAAGAUACAUAUUUAAUAGCUGUCGUCUGACUGUGAAGGGGGGGCCCUGAGCAGACACUAAAAACAGCCUUGUGCGGGUAAUAGUGGUUGCAGUGACCCGUUUUUUAAGGUGAAAUAGUUAACGAUAAACAAAUAAAAGUUACCCUGGGGAUAACAGCGCAAUGCGUAGAGGGUUUC
rnacentral:rRNA from 1 species